AUUUUGUGAAAACGCACCAUAGAACCGGAGAGCGUGUCUGGCACGGGUAGAGUCCAGACAAGAUUUCAGAAUCCCAAAGCCAUAGUGAGAGAGUAGCAUCAUCCGAAGUACAAUGUUAUUACGCUCCUCGCCGUCACCGUUGUCGUCGUCGUCGUCGUCUAGCGCUGCGGAUUUUGUGUAAUAUUCAAAAUGUCUACCCGUGCGAGGAACUAAAGAGUUCUGGGUGACCAUAGCGCGCGCCGGCCGUCCCGGAACAUCCGUUCGGAAUACUCACCGUAGGUUCCCAGGGAUCCUGCCCAAUUGGGUUUAACGGGGGUUUGUGUGUCGCCAGAGUGCCGCGAGUCAGUGAUGUGGAAACUGCACUGCUGAGGGUCAGCUCCGUACCGGAUCCGUCAAAGUCCGGAAUCUAUCUACCACGGGAACCCCGUUGCUUCCGUCGUCGCGCGUGACCUCCCGUCGUCUGUGUGUCGUUUUUAUGUGUGUUUUGUGAGUUUUUCGGUUUUCGGUGUGUUCCGUGGCGUGUACGUGUGUGUGUAUGAUCCAGAGUUUCUAGGAUGUCAUCCUGAGAGUCGGCCCUUCCAGAACUCCAGCGACCCAGAUCUUCCGGACGGACGAACGGGUGGACUCCAGAGUGUCCAGCAGUGCCAAUCAGAGGUGUCCAGUGUGCUAAAAAUGGGAACCUGCAAGGGCAAAGCCUUCUUUUGGCCGGAGAUUGCGUAAAAAGCCUCCUCCUCUCGACUUCCGGAUUUUCCCAGAGUGCAUCCAAAGUACACGCCAUUGGGCUAUUGAGACUUCAGGGGGGCUCUUUUCGCGAGUAGUGCUUCAAGUGCAUCAAAGAAAGUGGCUCUUGAGAUAGAUGAAAGUCCAACAGGAAUUUACAUAUAGAGUCCCGCGAGGUCUUGUGCCGUGUCCCCCUACUUGUACUGGAUAGAAUGUAAAUAUCGAGCGUACAAGGAGAGAGAGGAAAAAACAAGAAAAAAAAAUCAAUAUUUACUACGCUUACAGCGCGAAGAGAGCUGUGCAAAGAGAGAGAGGCGUAGUGCGUAUCUGCAGAGCAAUAAAGGCAAAGAAGGAAAGAGCCGAAGGAAGAGAGAAUAACAAAACAGAAAAGAUAGUGAAGGAGAGAGGAAUCUAAGAAGUUCGAGAUAAGGCAUCGGCAGUGCUGAUGAGGAAGAAAGAAGCAGAAGAAGAGUCAGAGUAUGCGACAAAAGUUCUGUGAUUAAUGAUAGUGAAAGCAAGCGAAGAAAGGAGCAGGUCGAUACGAGUCGGGUGCAUGCAUACUUUUGAAAAAGCAUUAAAAAGGAAGAAAAUUGCCUCAUCGGAAAAUUGCGGAAGCAGUGUGUGAGAUUGUGUGAGUGGUGAUCGACAGCGAGUGUGAUUCGGCACAAAUUUGCGGGUGAUUGAUUCUUCGCGCACAAAGGGCGAUUACGAUGAGCCUGCAAAAGUGAGCUCGGGAAAUUUAAUUCUUGCCGAAUAUCGCUGAAAAGUGUUUGCUUGAGGAUUCGUGUGUGGAUUAUUGAGAGACGAAUCAAAGAAGCUUAGUCGAUUGGUGAUUAUUGCAAAGUAGGAGAUCAAAAAGAUCGCCUUUCAAAACUAAAAGGAUCACAACCCAUUGAGAUUGCUAUGUAUCCCUUCACCUUAUACGUAGUACACGUUUGCUAAAAA